AUUGAACGCUGGCGGCAGGCCUAACACAUGCAAGUCGAGCGGAGCGGCGGACGGGUGCGUAAUGCUUAUGAAUCUGCCUCGUCGUGGGGGAUAACGUUCGGAAACGGGCGCUAAUACCGCAUACUCUCAGAUGAGCCUAGGUCGGAUUAGCUAGUUGGUGUGGUAAAGGCCUACCAAGGCGACGAUCCGUAACUGGUCUUAGAGGAUGAUCAGUCACACUGGAACUGAGACACGGUCCAGACUCCUACGGGAGGCAGCAGUGGGGAAUAUUGGACAAGGGGCGAAAGCCUGAGCCAGCCAUGCCGCGUGUGUGAAGAAGGUCUUCGGAUUGUAAAGCACUUUAAGUUGGGAGGCGUUACCAACAGAAUAAGCACCGGCUAACUUCGUGCCAGCCGCCGCGGUAAUUC
rnacentral:rRNA from 1 species